UACGGGGGGGGGCAAGCGUUGUUCGGAAUUACUGGGCGUAAAGGGCUCGUAGGCGGCCAACUAAGUCGGACGUGAAAUCCCUCGGCUUAACCGGGGAACGGCGUCCGAUACUGGAUGGCUUGAGUUUGGGAGAGGGAUGCGGAAUUCCAGGUGUAGCGGUGAAAUGCGUAGAUAUGACAUAGAACACCAAUUGCGAAGGCAGCUGGCUACACAUAUAUUGACACUGAGGCACGAAAGCGUGGGGAUCAAACAGG
rnacentral:rRNA from 1 species